rnacentral:rRNA from 1 species
CAGCAGCCGCGGUAAUACGUAGGGUGCAAGCGUUGUCCGGAAUUAUUGGGCGUAAAGAGCUCGUAGGCGGUUUGUCGCGUCGGCUGUGAAAACCUGGGGCUCAACCCCGGGCCUGCAGCCGAUACGGGCAAACUAGAAUUCGGUAGGGGAGACUGGAAUUCCUGGUGUAGCGGUGAAAUGCGCAGAUAUCAGGAGGAACACCGGUGGCGAAGGCGGGUCUCUGGGCCGAUAUUGACGCUGAGGAGCGAAAGCGUGGGGAGCAAACAGGAUUAGAUACCCCAGUAGUCCCUGUCUCUUAACC